GACGAACGCUGGCGGCGUGCUUAACACAUGCAAGUCGAACGGAAAGGCCCUGCUUUUGUGGGGUGCUCGAGGUGCGAACGGGUGAGUAACACGUGAGUAACCUGCCCUUGCCUUUGGGAUAACUUAAGGCAGCUGGGGCUCAUCCCGGAUAGGAGCUCCUGCUGCAUGGUGGGGGUUGGAUAGUUUAGGCGGUUGGGGAUGGACUCGCGGCUGAUCAGCUUGGUGGUGGGGUAGUGGCUUACCAAGGCUUUGACGGGUAGCAGGGCGGCUAGGGUGACAGGCCAAGUCGCGAUGGGGAUGCGGCCCAGACUACUCCGGGAGGCAGCAGUGGAGAAUAUUGCACUAGGGGCGGAACGCUGAUGCAGCACCGCCGCGUGGGGGAUGACGUCCUUCGGGUUGUAAUCCGCUUUCGCCUUUGACGAAGUGUGAGUGACGGUAAUGGGUAAAGAAGCACCGGCUAACUACGUG
rnacentral:rRNA from 1 species